rnacentral:tRNA from 1 species
UCCCUGGUGGCUCAGACGGUAAAGCGUCUGCCUACAAUGCAGGAGACCCGGGUUCAAUCCCUGGGUAGGGAA